CCACAACAACAUGGCGGCCGCGGCCUCCGCAGGAAGCCGGGGGGCGGGGAGGGAGGCGUCGGGCCGGGCAGCUGACGGCCCGCCCGCCCGCUGCGGGGCACCGACUACCCCACCCUUGGGAACCGAAAUUGGCCCGGGCGCGGCUGCUCACCCCCAGAGUCCCGGGUCAGCGGACCCCGCGGGCUUGGUCCUAGUGCUCCACUCUCCCCUCGGGGAGGCCCCGAAGCUCCGGACCCGGCAGCCCUUCCUGGAGGGGCGCCGACCCACCUGGCUCCUCCUCCCCGAGGUGACAUGUUGAGGCUGGGUGGUGCGUUUCCUGCCACCGCAGACCCCACAGUUUUGGAAGAGGGCCAAGCGGUGUCCGGCACGUCCCUGCUGCAGCCCUCGUGGGCUUCUCUCUGGAGUCUUCUCACUAAAGUGUCUUCACGGACCUGGGAGCUCGCUUCCCCUGGAACGGGGAGUGGGGCGGGAGGAGGCCGUUCCCCCCCUUGCUCAUGGGUGUGUCACAGGCCUUUCCCUCAGGUACCCCAGAAGGUCGCACCGUACCCGACAGUCGUCCACGCAUUGUUCCUCGCCCUUCUCCUUAACAGACAAGAAAGGGACCUUCCAACCCUCAUCCACACGCAGCAGAGCAAAGACCCCGUAUACUCCGGCCAAGGAGUAAGAAGAUCGUCAGUCAUCUCUCGGUGACCUCCACCACCUGCAGGCCUGCGGAUGCUGAACGUUCUUCCCCACCGCAUAGCUGCCUCACAGGUCCAUCGGUGUUGCAAGACCCAGCUCUGCCCACAAGAGGGCAGGCACCAGUCCCUCCCAUCAGGAAGCCUACACAAGCCCCUGGACCAAAUUCACCCACCAGGGAGCAGACACCAGAAACAAGGGGAACUAUGUUCCUGCAGCCUGUGGAAAGGAGACCACAUAAAAUUAGACAAAAUGAAAUGACAGAGAAAUAUAUUGCAAAUGAAGGAACAGGAUAAAAGCCCACAAGAACAACUAACUGAAGAGGAGAUAGGCAAUCUACCUGAAAAAGAAUUCAGAGUAAUGAUAGUAAAGAUGAUCCAAAAUCUCAAAAAAGAGUGGAGACACAGAUCAAGGAGAUGUAAGAAAUAUUUAACAAGGAGUUAGAAGAUUUAAAGAACAAACAAACAAAUGAGCAAUACAAUAACUGAAAUGAAAAAUACACUGGAAGGAAUCAAUAGCAAAAUAACUGAGGCAGAAGAAAGAAUAAGUGAGCUGGAAGACAAGAGUGGUGGAAAUCACUGCCACAGAACAGAAUAAAGAAGAAAGAAUGAAAAGAAAUGAGGAAAAUCUCAGAGACCUCUGGGACAAUAUUAAAUGCACCUACAUUUGCAUUAUAGGGGUCUCAGAAGGAGAAGAGAAAGAGAAAGGGCCUGAGAAAAUAUUUGAAGAUAGUAUGGCUGAAAACUUCCCUAACAUGAGGAAGGAAACACUUACUCAAGUCCAGGAAGUGCAGAGAAUCCCAUACAGGAUACUCAAAUCUUUCAAUGUUUUAGUGACUUAUUUUAAAACAUGAAUGGACAACAGAAGAUCACUAGGUAUUUGAAAAAGACGUAAACAAGAGAGGCAAAGACAACCAACAAUAAAUGCACAAAUGAGAAAGCCAUAACAAAAAUUCAAAGAAAGGAGAAGCAAUUCGGGACAAACAAAACAAAAAAAGAACAUUGGAUUAGUGUGGAGAAAAAGCAGUGCUUUAACAUUCUGAAGAAAACGGAUUUCCAAUCUAAAAUUCUAUUCCUAGGCAAAUUAUCACUCUGAUAAAAAGGGUAAAAUAAUGACAUUUUUAUUUAGGAACACUGAAUGAUGUGAAAAAGGAAGAAGUCAAGAAAGAGAAAGACACUGGAUCCAGGAAACAGAAGAUCUGACAUAUACGUGAGGGGAAAAGAAUUCCCAGGAUUUUAGUGAUGGAAAGUUUCAGGAUGACAGCUGGGCAGUAGGCCUAGUGAGUGACCAGUACUGAUAAGAGAAUGAAGGCAGAGGGCUCCAGGAGGAAUAUUUCCAGGGAGAAAACUCCUUGUAGAGUAUCUGAUGUAUUUUACUGUAUUCAGGGGACGUCCCUGGCAAUCUAGUGGUUAACACUCCGUGCUUCCACUGAACAGGACACAGGUUCAAUCCCUGGUCAGGAGACUAAGAUCCCACAAGCUGCAUGGCCAAAAUAAAUUAAUGUAUUCAGAAAUUAUUUUUAGUUCUGUUGGAUAGUUUGGAGUUGAAUUAGUGAUUUUGACAUGGGAAAUAAGCAAACAAAUAACCAAAAGAUCCCAAGGCAAUUAUCAAUACUGGGAAAAACAUAAAGUUGUUCAAGUAGGAAAUAUUGUCAUGAUAUACACUAUCACAACUGUGAAUAAUAGAAACUAAUCAUAAUAAUAUAAAUAAUAAACAUUUAUUUAAACAAAAAUGCCAAUGUAACUAAUUUGGUAAAUGGGAAUGAGGAAGUAUACGUGAGCAAAUAUAUUUGAGGGAGAUGAUUUAAAAGAGUCAGAUCUUCAUUUACCAUAUCAGCAAGUCAAUAGGUAAUAGCAAACAUUAAAAAAAUCAAGAAAUGGCAAUGUAAGCACAUAAUUUAUAUAAAUGGAGAUAAAACCAGAAGAAAGAGACAAAAAAGUUCAAAGAAACUGCUUAAGAGGAGUGGGAAUUUGGGAAUAAAGCUCAAAGGGGCAGACUUCUGCUGUUUUCCACUGUGAGCUCACAGUUCUAUUUAAUUUUUUAAAAGAGAUAUAUGGGUUGGUCUCAUAAAAACAAAAUAUGAAAAGAGAAACAUAUCACAUAGGUGGUCUGAGGACCUGAAUAAUAGUCACACAGCAAUAUUUCUCUGCCUCUUCCCCCCAUAUUCUUUUUUUUUCUUCCCCCCAUAUUCUAAGAGCUCUGUUCCUUGUAAAGAGUUCUUGGAAUCUAUGUGGUAUCUCACAAGUGUUCUGUGAAUUUGUUCUCUUGGCUGCCUUGAAGUUUCUGUUCUUGCUCGUCUUUUUUUCAGAGGCCAGCUAAAGGCCACACCCCUGCCGGCUUUGGACUCUCACUGAUCUCUGUCCCCAGGCUGCCAAUACUCAGUGUCAAAUUGUUGAUAUUUGUGCCAGCGAUGCUACUCCUUAUCACUGCUGAAGCUGCUGGCUCCAAGGCUGUCAACGUUUUACACCCUACUGCCCCCACACCUUGUAUUUUCCUAAGUGGGAGAAAUUUUUCUCAGUUUGCAAAAUCAGGAAUCAAUGUUUUUUCUUGAGUAUCUGCUUUUAUCUUUUAUCUUAUGAAUACUGUGGACAUACAACUGACUUUUCAUUUUUGGGUCUGGCUUCUGGGAAAAUUCUUAACUAAAUCUACCCAUAAUUCUAGAGGGUAGAGAGGACCUUAUGGUUUGUAUGUUUGUUUAUGACUUUAAGUGACUUUGGGACUUUGUUUUAAUCUUAUGUUUUCACUUGUAUUUUAUUCAUUCAUCCACUCAUUCAUUCAAUACUGUAUUUUGGUAAGGUGACUAAAAUCCUUUUUUUUUUUUUUUUGCAAGUGGGAAUACAUAAAUUAUGAAAUAAAUGACAAAAACUUUUAGAUUAAAAAAAUUUCCCCUUAUUAAAAUCUCUUUAUUUUAGGAAUUAGGAUUGAAUUCAUUUUAGCUCUCUUCAUUACUGUAGAUUUAUAGCAAAUCUUAAUAUUGGAUAGUACAUGUCCUUCAAAUUCUUCUAUUUCAAAAUUGUUUUAGCCAUUUUAGUUCCUUUGUCUUUCCAAUAAAUUUUAGAAUUGGCUUGUCUAUAUUUAUAAAAACUUCUGCUAGAAUUUUUAAAAUAACACCUUUACUGAGAUAUAAUUCACAUACUAUAAAAUUCACCCUUUUGAAAUGUACAUUUCAGUGGCUUUUUAUAUAUUCACAGAGUUGUGUAACUGUCAUCACUAAUUGCAGAAUAUUUUUAUCACCUCAAAAAGAAAGCCUAUACCCAUUAGAAGUCACUGAUUCAAUCAGUUGAAGACCUUAGGAAAAAAGUCUUGAGUCCCUGGAGGAAGAGGGAAUUCUGCCUUGGAAUCAAGCCUACAACAUCAACUCUCCUCUGAAUGUCUAGCCUGCUGGCCAAUUUUGAACUUGCUAGGCCCCACAAUCGUGUGAGCCAAUUCCUACUCUGCAGAGCCCUGACUAAUACAAAUUUUGAAAUCAUACAAUAUGUGCCUUUUCUGUCUGGCUUUUUCAUUUAGCAUGUUUUCAAGGUUCAUCCAUGUUCUAGCAUAAAUCCAUUCCUCAUUCCUUUUUAUGGCUGAAUAAUAUUCUAUUGUAUAGAAUCACAUUUUGUUUAUCCAUUCAUUAGUUGAAUGGAUAAACAUUUGGAUUAUUCCCACUUCUGUCUAUUAUGAAUAAUGAUGUGAACAUUUGUGUAUAAGUUUUUGUGGGGGCAAAAAAGGUUUUGUGGGGGUUGCAGUUCUCUUGGGUUUCUCUUCAAUACGUGGCUACACCAUCUUACAUUUCUCUCAACAUUGUAAGAGGGUUCUAAGUUCUCCACAUCCUCACCAAUAAUUAUUAGUGCUUAUCUUUUUGAUUAUUGCCAUCAUAGGGGGUGUGAAGUGGUAUCUCAUUGUGAUUUUGAUUUGCAUUUUCUUGAUGGCUAAUGAUGUUGAGAAUUUUUCCUAUUUAUGUUUAGAGUCAUCAAAGGACUGCUUCAUGCAUUCUGUCCAUUUUAUAGCUGCAUUCAGUGGGAGAGAUUGGAAAUAUGCUUACUUCAUUUUACCUGAAAACAGAAACUUGUUAGUUUUCGAUACUUACAACAAGAGUAAGUUUGAUUUGAUUUCCUGCAAACUUGCUAAACUCUCUUUUUAACUCUAGUGUUUUAUCAUCUGCCGAUAAUGAAGGUUUGUUUCUGUCUUUCCAAUCCUUAUUUAUUUUACAUGAUUGUAUUGGCUAAGAACUCCAGAACAAAAAGGUAAAUUAGAAAGGGUGAUAUGACACCCCUGUUUUCUUCCUGGUCUUAAAUGGAAUAUUUUUGAUGUUUCACCAUUAAAUGUAACAUUUAGAGUAGGGUUUUUUGGUAGAUACAUAUUAUCAUGUUAAGAAAAUUCUUUCCUGGUUUUCUUACUGUGUUGUUUUUGUUUAAGUCUUGAACAUGUAUUGGAUUUUAUUACGUCUUUUCUUCAUGUACCGAAAAGAUUUUUUUUUCUUUUCAUCCUUACCAUGAUGUAUGCUAAUUGAUUUUCUAACAUUAAACCACUGUGGUAGAUUGUUUGCAAAGGUAGCUACAGUCAUUCCUUCCAGCCUUUAUACUCCUUUGCCAUGUGACUUUGUCAUUGAUCCCUUCAAAAGAUGGAAUCUCCUUCCCCUUGAAUCUGCUCUGGUCUUGUGUUUUGUUUUAUUAGAACAUGGCAGAAGAGGCUUAGCAAUUUCUGAACCUUGGCCUCACGACACUUUGGUUGUUUUUGUUUUUGUUUUUGUUUUUUUGCUCUCUCCCUCUGAGAGCUUCUCUUAACAUGGAAAAAGCCCACAAUGAUAGACUUCAUGGAGAGAGAUGCCCAGGAUCCCAACCAUUACAGAAACCCCAAAUGAAGGUCUAGAUAUGAGGGUGAGUCAUUUUAGGCCAUCCACCUGAGCUCUCAGCUGGCCGCAGCCAUGCAAGUGACGUAGGCAGGACCAGCCCAGCCAACCCAUAGCAUUAUAAGAAAUAAUAAAAUGUCGUUUCAAGCCAC